AUUGAACGCUGGCGGCGUGCCUAACACAUGCAAGUCGAGCGGAUGAACGGAGCUUUCUCCUGUCUGCUGCUGCGGACGGGUGGGUGAUUCCUACGAGUCUGCCCUGCCUAUAGGGCUGGCAUCCCUACACGAGCGCUAAUCCAGCAUACGUCCUUAGUUUGAACGUGGGGGAUCUUCGGACAUCGCCCUAUCUGCUGACCCUUGGUCGGAUUAGCUAGUUGGUUUGGUAAAGGCCUACCAAGGCGACGAUCCGUAGCCGGUCUGAGAGGCUGAUCAGCCACACUGGAACUGAGACACGGUCCAGACUCCUACGGGAGGCAGCAGUGGGGAAUCUUCGACAAUGGGCGAAAGCCUGACGCAGCAAUGCCGCGUGAGUGAAGAAGGUCUUCGGAUCGUAAAGCUCUGUAAGUAGGGAAGAAGAGAAGUAAGAUAAUACGUGCAUGUUUUGACGGUACCAACUGAAUAAGCCACGGCUAACUUCGUG
rnacentral:rRNA from 1 species